UACGUAGGGGGCUAGCGUUGUUCGGAUUCAUUGGGCGUAAAGGGUGCGUAGGCGGCGCGGUAAGUCGGAUGUGAAAUCUCGGAGCUUAACUUCGAAACUGCAUUCGAUACUGCCGUGCUUGAGGACUGGAGAGGAGACUGGAAUUUACGGUGUAGCGGUGAAAUGCGUAGAUAUUGGGAAGAACACCGAUGGCGAAGGCAGCCAUCUGGACCGACACUGACGCUGAGGCGCGAAAGCGUGGGGAGCAAACAGG
rnacentral:rRNA from 1 species